rnacentral:rRNA from 1 species
UACGUAGGGUGCGAGCGUUGCCCGGAUUUAUUGGGCGUAAAGGGCGCGUAGGCGGUCACGCACGUCCGUUGUGAAAUCGCUCGGCUCAACUGGGCGGGGUCAGCGGAUACGGCGUGGCUGGAGCAAGCUAGGGGGCAAUGGAAUUCCCGGUGUAGUGGUGGAAUGCGUAGAUAUCGGGAGGAACACCAGUGGCGAAGGCGGUUGCCUGGAGCUUUGCUGACGCUGAUGCGCGAAAGCGUGGGGAGCGAUCCGGCG